UAAAAAUGUGGCGCCUGGGUGGCGCAGUCGGUUAAGCGUCCGACUUCAGCCAGGUCACGAUCUUGCGGUCUGUGAGUUCGAGCCCCGCGUCGGGCUCUGUGCUGACAACUCAGAGCCUGGAGCCUGUUUCCGAUUCUGUGUCUCCCUCUCUCUCUGCCCCUCCCCCGCUCAUGCUCUGUCUCUCUCUAAUAAAUAAACAUUAAAAAAAAUAAUAAUAAAAGUUUCAGAAACAGGCUGAUCUAUUUUUAGAAACACUGAUUCAGAGAAGUGAAGCAAUGAGAUUAUUGUGGCUUGUAGAAAUCAUAUUUGAUAUGAUAAUAAUCAUGGAUCACAGUUAAGAUCAAAUACAAUGUAUGACAGACUAUCUCUAGCUUAAACAUGCAGCUUUAAUUUACCUGAGUUUAUAGAAAUGAUCACUGUGUACAGGUCUAUAGAGGUAUGUUCUACUUAAAAUCUAAUGCAAAAAUUGUGUUAUUUUGAACAAAAAAACCCUAAUUUUGAUACAUUUAUAAGACUGAGUUGAUAUUUUUCUCUAAAAUUUUAGGAAGAUGUAAAGCAAGUGAUCUUUAACAGAAUUCUGACCACUUUUCCAAACACAAACAAAAAUAAAUAAAUAAAAAGUGAACAGCCUGAUUAUAAAUCUAUGUUUAAAAUGAGUUUUUAAAGGGGCGCCUGGGUGGCUCAGUCGGUUGAGCGUCCGACUUCGGCUCAGGUCAUGAUCUCACAGUCUGUGGGUUCGAGCCCCGCGUCAGGCUCUGUGCUGACAGCUCAGAGCCUGGAGCCUGUUUCCAAUCCUGUGUCUCCCUCUCUCUCUGCCCCUCCCCCAGUCUCACUUUGUCUUACUCUGUCUUUCAAAAAUAAAUAAAUAUAAAACAAAUUUUAAAUGAGUUUUUAAAGAUGGAACAUUCUAAAUGAGCUCAAUAUCAAAAGAAAAAAAAACUUGUUUGGACUAUAUACAUAGAAAAUAUAUAGUUUUUUUAAAAGUUUAUAUAUUUAUUUUUGAGAGAGAGGGAGAGAGAGUGUGUGAGAGCAAGUGAGGGAGGGGCAAAGAGACGGGGAGAGAGAGAAUCCCAAGCAGGCUCUGCUCUGUCAGCACAAAGCCUAAUGUGGGGCUCGAACUCACGAAACCGUGAGAUCAUGACCUGAGCUGAAACCAAGAGUCGGACACUUAACUGACUGAGCCACCCAGACAUCCAGAAAAUACAUAGGUUCGUAAAAAUCCGUAUUUUAAACCAGAACAUUUUGCGUCUUUUAUUUUUAAUCUUUUCUGAGUGCCAACAAUUUUCUAGGUAUUAUAUAUAAUACAUAGGCUUUAGUCCCAAGGACUAUUACCAUACAUUUCACACUGGAAUGAAUGAAGUUGUACUUAAAUUUGAGGGGAAAAGAAAUAGUCAGGUCCCCAACUGAGACGGUGUUUUGCCUGGUUGAGAGUUACAUUGUACCUCUGGCACAAAACGUGUGAAAUUCUCAAAUGUGUUUGGCUAUUCAAAGGCAGUGUGUCUUCUCCCCGUUUUUCUUCUUAAAUACAAUCAGAAACAAGUUAUCUACUUCGGAAGAAUUAUUUUCAGUGAUCACACCACACUGGUUACCUAAAGGUGGCCCCAUCAUCUCCCCUAACUCCCACACGUUCUGCUUCUGUGUAUUGGAAUUCAAGUGAGUUGCAAUGGAUUGGGAUGUUGCAAUAUUCUUUCACGCUCAUGGGUUGUACUGUCCUCCACUGAUUUAGAAUGAUGUCUCUUUUGGGAAUACCCUAAACAGGAUUAUAAUAUUAUCUCAUUUCCACAUCAAUACCUGCCUAUAAAAGUGACAAAUCUUAUAAGAUUGAAUAUAACAGUCUUGCAAAAAAUGGAUGAAUGUCUCUGUUCAAUUGAGGAAAUAUGCACUGCCCUUUUGCUCAUUAGUUGAAGGACAUACCAAACUUAAAUUUUACAAGAAGGCUAGAGUUUUGUAAAAUCUUGGGUCCCACUCGUAAGACCACAUUCUAUCUGACUUGUUUCCCAAGGACACUCUAGGGAUGCUGUCUUUUCUGUGCAUGUUGUGAAUAGUAACCAUACUUUUAAAUUUGUGUUGUCAAUGAAAAUUUUACUUGAAAUUAAGGUUGUCUUUUGUUAUGUUUUUUUUUAACCUAUAGGAUAAGAUUCCAGUGUUGUAUGUGAAUGUCUAUAACAAAUAAAAAAAUCAAAUUGUGUACAUUUGGAAAUAUUUGCACAUAUUUUUUAUUAAAUGUAAAGUUGCCUUUGAAACUACUCCGAUGUGUCCUUUCUGAACAAAACUAUUACAUCUUAUAAAAAUGCUACCUUUUAAGUUUGCCAUCACUUUUAUCACCCCUCAUUUUGAUGUAUUCUUGAUGGCUCCAGUUCUGUUUAUGUGCAGUGUCUUUUAGGAAAGACUUACCAACGCAAUAAACAAUGUUAUAAAUAACCUCA